rnacentral:rRNA from 1 species
AACGGGUGAGUAAUGCGUGACCAACCUGCCCCAUGCUCCAGAAUAGCUCCUGGAAACGGGUGGUAAUGCUGGAUGCUCCAACUUGACGCAUGUCUUGUUGGGAAAGUGUUUAGUGGCAUGGGAUGGGGUCGCGUCCUAUCAGCUUGUAGGCGGGGUAAUGGCCCACCUAGGCUUCGACGGGUAGCCGGCCUGAGAGGGCGGACGGCCACAUUGGGACUGAGAUACGGCCCAGACUCCUACGGGAGGCAGCAGGU